rnacentral:rRNA from 1 species
GACGAACGCUGGCGGCGUGCUUAACACAUGCAAGUCGAACGGAAAGGCCCUGCUUUUGUGGGGUGCUCGAGUGGCGAACGGGUGAGUAACACGUGAGUAACCUGCCCUUGACUUUGGGAUAACUUCAGGAAACUGGGGCUAAUACCGGAUAGGAGCUCCUGCUGCAUGGUGGGGGUUGGAAAGUUUCGGCGGUUGGGGAUGGACUCGCGGCUUAUCAGCUUGUUGGUGGGGUAGUGGCUUACCAAGGAUUUGACGGGUAGCCGGCCUGGGAGGGUGACCGGCCACAUUGGGACUGAGGUACGGCCCAGACGCAUACGGGGGGCAGGAGUGGGGAAUAUUGCACAAUGGGCGGAAGCCUGAUGCAGCAACGCCGGGUGCGGGAUGACGGCCUUCGGGUUGUAAACCGCUUUCGCCUGUGACGAAGCGUGAGUGACUGUAAUGGGGAAAGAAGCACCGGCUAACUACGU